GCGCGAAAACUUUACAAUGCUGGCAACAGCGAUAAGGGAACCUCGAGUGCCAGGUUACAAAUCUGGCUGUCGAGAUGCCUAAAAAGCAUUUCAUAGCAAGGGCCGGGCAAGACCGGUGCCAGCCGCCGCGGUAACACCGGCGGCUCGAGUGGUAACCGUUAUUAUUGGGUCUAAAGGGUCUGUAGCCGGCCGGAUAAGUCUCUUGAGAAAUCUGGCAGCUUAACUGUCAGGCUUUCAGGAGAUACUGUCUGGCUCGGGGCCGGGAGAGGUGAGGUACUUCAGGGGUAGGGGUGAAAUCUUGUAAUCCUUGAAGGACCACCAGUGGCGAAGGCGUCUCACCAGAACGGACCUGACGGCAAGGGACGAAAGCUAGGGGCACGAACCG
rnacentral:rRNA from 1 species